rnacentral:rRNA from 1 species
GACGAACGCUGGCGGCGUGCCUAAUACAUGCAAGUAGAACGCACAGUUUAUACCGUAGCUUGCUACACCAUAGACUGUGAGUUGCGAACGGGUGAGUAACGCGUAGGUAACCUGCCUGGUAGCGGGGGAUAACUAUUGGAAACGAUCGCUAAUACCGCAUAAUAUUAAUUAUUGCAUGAUAAUUAAUUGAAAUGUGCAAUUGCACCACUACCAGAUGGACCUGCGUUGUAUUAGCUAGUAGGUGAGGUAACGGCUCACCUAGGCGACGAUACAUAGCCGACCGGAGAGGGUGAGCGGCCACACUGGGACUGAGACACGGCCCAGACUCCUACGGGAGGCAGCAGUAGGGAAUCUUCGGCAAUGGACGAAAGUCUGACCGAGCAACGCCGCGAGAGUGAAGAAGGUUUUCGGAUCGUAAAGCUCUGUUGUAAGAGAAGAACGGGUGUGAGAGUGGAAAGUUCACACUGUGACGGUAUCUUACCAGAAAGGGACGGCUAACUACGUG